GGAAAGCACAAGGAGCAAGGCAGGCUGGGAAAGCACAAGGAGCAAGGCAGGCUGGGAAAUGCUAUCCACGCCCGGCCAUGUUCUCUUCAGAAGUAGGCUACAGUGCUAUCCCUGCAAGGCGGUAGCAUAUCGAUGUGUAUGUGGGGAGGUUAGCAUAUGCCUGGUGUACAGCAACAAAUGCACCGGAAGGCAGAGCAAGAUUCUUGCAGGGAGAGACUUGUAAGGCUCUAUCAGGAAUGAAGGCAGGUGCUGUGUGCCCUAAAGUCACUUUCACUGCUUCACAACUCCUCUGUGCUCUGGCUUCGGGUGUAGAAAUACCUACAUGAGUAUUAGUAUGUGUCAUGUGUGUCUAUGGGUUCUGUCCUAUGUAUGUGUAGUCGUAUAUUGUGGUGUGUGUAUGUGUGGUCCCAGGUGUGGGGGUGGGUAGUACGUACGUGAUCACGUGUAUGUGUGUGGUAUUGGUGUGUAUGUGUUGCUGUAUGAGUAAUCUAUGUGUAGAGUCAUAUGUGCCUAGUCACUGCUGUGAGUAGCGAUGUGUUUCCACGGCCGUGCGUGUGUGACCAUAUGUAUGCAUGUGGUUACCUGAGUGCUUGUGUAUGGUGGUCACGUGUAUUUGCGUGGUCUCACGUUCGUGCUUCUGUGUGUAUAGUUGUGUGUCAUGGUCAUAUGCAUGCGUAGUCAUAUGCAUGUCUCUGGGUAGUCAUAUGUGUGUGAUCCUAUAGAUCAGUAUGUCUGGUGGUCAUGUGGAUGAGUGGUCAGGCUUUUUUGAGGACAUAUGUGUGUACAAUCAUAUGUGGUUUUGUGUGGUCAUACAUGUGAAGUACUAUGUGCAUAUAUAUUUGAUUGUAUAUGCUUGAGGGGGGGUGCAAGGACUGUAUGGAUGCUCCACAGGUUUGAAGAAUGGUUCAACCUGGGAUUUGAGCAUCAUUUUAGGAGGACAGAAAGAUGACAUGUAUUUAGUAGUAACUAACCCUCACAGUUUGAAUUUUGAUCCUUCCCCACACAGACAUAGGCAUACGGAUACUUUGUCUCCCACAGCUGUGAGCCACAGCUGUGAGUCACAGCUGUCCUAGGGAGCCCCAAGUCACUGACUGCAUGUGCUGCUGCUGUGGACGGUUAUGCCGAGGGGAAAAAAAGUGUGAGAGCAGCUUCUGUGUUAAGGCAGCUCCUUCCUGUGUGGCCGGCCAUCUCACCGAGAACGCAGCUGACACUAUUCAGACUCGAGUAUGCAGUAGACAUUUUCUUUAGAGACAAUAAAGGGAGUAUGUCUCCUCCAGAGGAAAAGGACAGCAUUGGUGGCCAGUGCUUAAAACAUUUGCUCUCUCAGGUGAACAUUAGAAUUUUGGAGAAUCUGUAUCCACCAACCAUGAAUAUGAUGGUUUCCCAAGAACUGAGUGUUCAUCACAGACGAUGCAUGCAGGGGUAAUGGAUGGGAACUGUAGCCCUCAGAGAAUGAAAUUCGCCCACAGUUUGAAGCUCUGCAGGACUCUGAAGCAAUGUUUUGAAGUGACCAGUGGAUGACCUUACAGAGUUAUGCACCGGGAGAAAAGAAAAGUCCAUGAAAGAAAGGUUGAUGGGUUUUACGUAACAGCAAUGGGAACAAUUCAAGCAUGAGAUUAUAACCUAGAAUAUGAAACUAUUAGUUUCAAUUUUAUGCUGUGAAACAAAGAAUAUACAAAAACUAUCUGGAACAGGCUGUUAAAAUAUUCUUUCUCCAUCCCAACCCUCGAGGCAAAUGCCGUAGGGGGAUUGGGAGUUCAAGAUCUUUACUGGCUACAGAGUACAUGAGACACUGUCUCAAAGAAGUAUGGAUCCUUCCCUUCCUAUCACUUCUGGUUCACUCUCUCUGAUUCAUGUUUAAAGGUGUGUCCUCUCAGUUUCCAGUCCCCACCACCGGCCACCAUGCCAGCGGCUUGCUUUCCAGUCACAAUGGACUCUUAUUCCUCUGGAACCGUAAGCCCAAAUAAACUCUUGCCUCAAGGGGGCAGGGAG